rnacentral:snoRNA from 1 species
UUCAAUGAUGAUAACUUUAAACCAUUCACAGACACCAUAUAAAAGUCAAGCGCUGACAAACUUCUUCAAUAUUCUUUUGGAGAUAGGGAGUCUUGCUUGGCCGGUUAUGGACCCUGGUUAAAAAUUUGGCACUGAGCUU